rnacentral:rRNA from 1 species
UGGGGAAUAUUGGACAAUGGGGGCAACCCUGAUCCAGCAAUGCCGCGUGUGUGAAGAAGGCCUUCGGGUUGUAAAGCACUUUUGGCUGUGACGAAGGUGAGUAGUUUAAGAGACAGCUCACUUGACGGUAGCAGCAGAAUAAGCACCGGCUAACUCUGUGCCAGCAGCCGCGGUAAUACAGAGGGUGCAAGCGUUAAUCGGAGUUACUGGGCGUAAAGGGCGCGUAGGCGGUCUUUUAAGUGAGAUGUGAAAUCCCUGGGCUUAACCUAGGAACUGCAUCUCAUACUGGGAGACUAGAGUAUUGUAGAGGGUAGUGGAAUUUCCGGUGUAGCGGUGAAAUGCGUAGAGAUCGGAAGGAACACCAGUGGCGAAGGCGGCUACCUGGACAAAUACUGACGCU